UACUAGAGUAGCACUCGCAUAUCAAUAAGCGGAGGAAAAGAAACUAACAAGGAUUCCCCUAGUAACGGCGAGUGAAGCGGGAAGAGCUCAAAUUUGAAAUCUUAAAGGGUUUCCCUUUACGAAUUGUAGUUUAAAGAAGUGUUUUCUGUUGAGGUUUUGGUAAAAGUUCUUUGGAAUAGGACAUCAUAGAGGGUGAGAAUCCCGUAUUUGACCUUUACUUUCAACUUUGUGAUACACUUUCAAAGAGUCGGAUUGUUUGGGAAUGCAGUCCAAAAUGGGUGGUAAAUUUCAUCUAAAGCUAAAUAUUGGCGAGAGACCGAUAGCGAACAAGUACCGUGAGGGAAAGAUGAAAAGAACUUUGAAAAGAGAGUUAAACAGUACGUGAAAUUGUCAAAAGGGAAGCGUUUGACACCAGUGUUGUUUUUCUGAAAAUCAAUUAAAGAACUGUUUAUGCUAAGUUGUUUAGACUUUAUCAGCUAUCUGCUUAGUUUUGAGCUUUUCUUUAAUGCACUUUUCAGUUAACAAGUCAACAUCAAUUUCUUUUGCUGUAAAAAAGCUUGAGGAAGGUGGCUUGAGAUUCGUCUUAAGUGUUUAUAGCCUCUUGCCUAUGCAGUCGGAGAGAUUGAGGUCUGCAGCGUAGAUCCUUCGGGGCUAAAUGCAUUUGUGCUAAGUUAUAGCAUUUUAUAGACAACUUGUUGACUAUGAUUUGUCUUGUAGCUUACUCGCUUAUGUUAUUUUACCUACGCUUAGGAUGUUGAACUACUGAGACAUAGA
rnacentral:rRNA from 1 species